rnacentral:lncRNA from 1 species
UCAAGGAGGCCGCGAACCGGCCCUGGGUACUCAACGUGGAUGCCAUGUUGUCCGAGUUCCUAGGGGGCCCAGGAGGGGGAGGGCCGGGGGUGGCGGGGGCUGCAUCGCUCAAGUCCAUGGGGGUAGCUUCCGCCGCGUCCGGUGUGCCAGGAGGAGGGGCGGGAGGUGGGGGAGGGGCUGGGGCUGGGGGAGGGAUGGGCGGGGCAACAUCGCUCAAGUCGAUGGGGGCCCUUUCUGUCGGUUCGGUGGCGGGAGGGAGUUUUUAGGGGUACCUGCCUAGGGAUUGACACGCCCCAGGUGUCUUUCUUUUAUAUGUGUGCUUAGGGCGGCUCAGCUGGAAAGUGAUAGGACCCGGCUGGCCGGCAGUUGACAAUGACCUCGUUUGUGUAACCAGGGCUUAUGUUGGAAGGACGUGCGUAUGUGUGUACACGGUGGAUGUGCUUUCCGGAUCAAUGCUUUCUUUCUAUAUUCGUGCUCGCCGUUGAAACACGGCCAACGAGCAAUGGCGUAUAAACUAUGAUGCCAUGCAUGUUUGCCUAUGGGGUGUUAGGUAGGUAGGUAGGUAGGUAGGUAGGUAGAGGGCCGAAAGCCAGAAUGUGCUUUAGGGGCCCAUAUGCGCGAGGAUUGUGGGAGAGAGGCGUGUGUGUGCGUGUGUAUAUCUAUGUGUGUGUGCAUGCACAAGGCAUAAGCCAGCGCUGCAUGCAUUUUUGAACUUUGUGAUUCCAAAAUAGCAGCGGGGAGGAUCAUAUCGGAUAGCUGUGACGGGAUUCAUGCAUGCUACAAGACCGUUCAUGUCUGUGGGUUCGUUACCUUUAGAAGGGUGACGCCUGGUAACGCAACUCAAGGUAUACACAAGUCAAACUGAGGAUGUGCAGGGUAGUGCACUCGUGUAGCCAUAUCGCCAUGCCACCGCAGCUAACGACGCACGAGGAGGGACCCGGUUCGGGUGGGGCCCCAAGGUGGUGCCAGUCCCGCAGAGGCGGAAACACGGAGCGCGACAGCCCACCUGUUGCAGAUAAGAGGUUUUUGACCGGUUUGGGGCCCACCGCAGUGCGGCCCACGACUUGAUACGAGGCAUUGAUAAAUUUACCAGCUGGGGCCAACAAGUCAGUUAUGCAAGUGUACUGUCGAACGCUCCUGCCCUUUGUCCCCUUCGUAAAAGGCAAGCGUUUCAAAGGUAUAGCCUGAGUUAGCUCUCGAGGGUCUCACCCCGGGAUGUACCGGGAUGGCACCGUCAGCGGGCUGGGCACAAAGUACGGUUUAGCUAGGGACGACAAGCAUGGCCCUGGUCGGGGUAGUUGGCAAAUCCAAGACAAGGGAUUGUGCGUAAGGACGUGUAACACAGCACGACGGUUGAUAGGCACUUGCGCAGUGCGAAAAUGGUAGCAGCGUACGACACCCUUGUCUUUGUUGUUUUGAUAGCUUCUGGAUAAGCAGUUGUAUGGAGAGUUCCUUUGCUUGGAAAGCGGCAUGC